UUAAGCUUAUUGUUUAUUAUUUUUAAUCAGGUUUGUUUAUAUAUUAAUUUUAAUUAUUUGCGUAGAAUAGAAAUUUGAAAGAAAUCCAUUUGUAUGUAAAAGUGUUUUUCUUGUUUUUCUUCUAUUUUUUUUUUAGGAAACCAUAAGCCAGAUAUUGCUUUAUGAAAAAUAUAGUCAUCUUGCAGUAAAUUAAAUUGUAAAAGCUUUGCACAAUAUCACAAAGAUGAAUAAUUUGUAGAAAUUGGUUCAAUAAUUUUUAUU